AGGGGAGCAGAAAGACGAAGAAACAAGAGCGAUCACCUGCGUUUGUGCGUCUUCUCCCUUCCAGUGGGAAAACUGAAACCGCUGGUGAUCAUCCUUGUCCAAAGCAAAUGAAUGGCUGAGAUGGAAUUGAUGGAGGGCCAAACAUCCAGACAUUUCCACUUUCUUUGCUUCAUUCCUUACAAAGCAAACAUUUGGCCUCGCGAUGACUUUCCUACACCUAUUCCAGCUAAACCAAGGUUGGCAGAAGCUGGGACAAGUCACGGGAGCUCACUAGGGAUUCAAACCGCUAAACUGCCGACUUUUUGAUCAACAAGCUCAGCGUCUUAGCCAUUGAGCCACCGCGUCCCUGGAGAAGACCAAGGAUACUGUUUCGUGCCAGUGGAUCUAUUCCCAGUAAUGUGUUUCAGAUUUGUUGCCUUCACAGUCAUGGACCAUCAUCAUUUCAGCUAUAAAGGUAAUCUCUCAAAGCAGAGAUUGUAUGAUAUGUGGACCUCCAGCAACUUGGCCAACGUGGACAAUAGUAAGAGAUGUUGACUGCAGAAUCUGUGAGCUGAAGUCUAACAAUCUGCACUUACCAGAUCAGGAAAAAGUAAAAGUCACUCUGCAUUAUCUCACUCCAAAUCAUCUAAAUGAUCUUUGCAUUGCUCUUAAUGGGUUGAGGUCCUUCAACUGUUCCACACUUUUGCUAAAGGACAUUUUCUGUGCUGAGUCAAGGGCUAUCACAUGCCACUUUUUCCCAAAAGAAACCGGUGGUCCUGAAUAGGGGCACUGAGAAGAAUGAAAAAGCAACUGGCUUCUAAAUCUUUCCCAAGGAUCUCACUAAGGAUAGCUAUUUCUCUAUUCCGAUUUGUAGCAUAGUAUCCAUCUGAUUCAACAUCAGGAAUGAUGGGAUAGAUAUGGAACCCACUGAUUCCCGACAGAGACUUUCAAAGAAAGAUUUCUACUUCAUCAGCCAAGGGCUCUUUAGAAGCUCACAUCAAAAUGACUUCCUUUCCUGCCUUCCUGUCUUUGGUGCUACUUUUUUAAAAAAUAUAAUGAUCCCCUUGGAGGUGAAGUUUAUCUGGAAACGGAGCCUUAGACCAGGAUGCAAUUUCUUUAUGGUCUACAGGCUGUAGAUGACAUUUGAGAGGCAUGCAAUGACUAAAUCCUAAAGAGAGAGAAGAGAUCAGGACAAAAUUAUGAUUGACCUCAUGUCAUUUAUCUUCAGAGUUAGGUAAAAUUAACAAUAAGUAAAUGUAGUCUUCUCCAGCAAUGCAUUAAAUAAUGUUUUCCUUCUUCUACAAGGCAAGCGUAAAAUACCAGUAGCCUUCUGAAGACUCCGGGUUCAGCAUAAUCCAAGGCUCAACAACUUUGGACCUCUAGAUUUUUUUAAAAAAAAUAUUUUAACUGUUUUAUUAAUGCCAUAAGCAACUCUGCCUGACCAAAGGCUUGAAAUAAUGGCAGUUGUCAGUCAACACUAUGGUUGGGAAUCACUACUCAACACUCAUUUAUAAUGUUGUUGUUGUUGUUCAGUCGCUAAGUUGUGUCCGACUCUUCAUGACCCCAGAAGAAACAUCUUCAAAGAAAAACAAAGGAAGUCCAGUUACCUCUUGAAAAAAGCACCUUUGGAAGAACCAUGAUCUGGAUGACUGAGAACCUCCACAGACAUAUGGUGCUACUACAAAUCCAAGUUUAAAUGGAAUUCAUGAUUUUUGUUGUUCAGUUGUUAAACUCAUGUCCAAUGCCUGGUGACCCCAUGGACCAUAGCAUACCAGGUCCUCUUGUCCUCCACUGUCUCCCUGAGUUUACUCAAAUUCAUUACCGCUGCAUCAAUGACACCAUCUAACCAUCUCCUCCUCUGCAGUCCCCUUCUCCUUUUGCCUUCCAUCUUUCCCAACAUUAGGGUCUUCUCCAAGGAGUUCAUUUGGUGGCCAAAGUAUUUGGUCUUCUUGCAGUCAAACGGACUCUCAAGUGUCUUCUCCAACAUUUCAAGAAUGUUCUCUAACAUCAUUUAUAGUAAUAACACCUAAACAUUAGUUAGAAGGGCCUGAGACUGAAAGGAGUGGAUUCAACAACC